GCAGAAGUCAGAUUGGACAGAGAGGUGUA
rnacentral:piRNA from 1 species